AUACAGAACACUGUACCAAUGAAAGUCUUCCAAGCACGAGCAUCUUCACUCUGACGCCAGCCAUUGGGCCAGCCCAUCACCACUGUGUUGUGCUUCAUGCCUCCAAGGCCACAGGACUGGAUAAGGUCAAGCACUGAGCACAGGGAUGCCUAAAAAGUGAAUACCAGACACGGUUUGAUUGUCAGGAUCAACAUGUUUGGAGUCUAACUAGGAAUUAUGUUUAUUGAUAAUCUCACAGACAGGUCAUCUAUCUCAGCCUUCACACCAGCCCAUAUGAGAUAAACCCUAUGACUUCCUGUGUCUGGACAAUCAUGAACUAUGAAGAGGGGUGCUACAGUGCUAUCUGCCUCAAGGAAAAUUAGUACUUAUUUGGAAAA